GACGAACGCUGGCGGCGUGCUUAACACAUGCAAGUCGAACGAUGAAGCUGGAGCUUGCUCCGGUGGAUUAGUGGCGAACGGGUGAGUAACACGUGAAGAAUCUGCCCUUCACUCUGGGAUAACUGCGGGAAACUGUAGCUAAUACCGGAUACUUUCUCUGGUGGGCAUCCACUAGGGAAGAAAGAAUUUCGGUGAAGGAUGAUCUCGCGGCGUAUCAGCUAGUUGGUGAGGUAAUGGCUCACCAAGGCGACGACGGGUAGCCGGCCUGAGAGGGUGACCGGCCACACUGGGACUGAGACACGGCCCAGACUCCUACGGGAGGCAGCAGUGGGGAAUAUUGCACAAUGGGCGAAAGCCUGAUGCAGCAACGCCGCGUGAGGGAUGAAGGCCUUCGGGUUGUAAACCUCUUUUAGCAGGGAAGAAGCGAAAGUGACGGUACCUGCAGAAAAAGCACCGGCUAACUACGUGCCAGCCGCCGCCGUAA
rnacentral:rRNA from 1 species